CUCACAGGGUUAUCCAUUCCUACCAUGUAGCACCUCUGUUUUUUUGCUCUCCUAUCCAGCCACUUGUAGUGGCACCUGAACGAUCUACUUGGCUUCUAUCAACCUGCCGAUUUUCUACAUAGUACCAUUUCUUCACUUAACCAAGGCAGGAAGUCAACAAUUGAUCGGCAAAUGAGCAUGGAGAUUGCUGAAGAGCUGAGUGGUCGAUCUUGAGCCUAAAAAUGAAUUCAUCUAGAGGCUAGAGACCGACAGAUCCGAUCAAUUCAUCAUGCGUACGGAGGACACCAUUGAUGUGGCCGUCGAAAGGAUUCUCGUUGAACUUGGGAAAGACACUACAAGCAGCAGAGAGAAUGCCAUUUACUUUGAUGGCUAGGAUGGUCUUGGGGCAUCUGCUUUCCUGCAAGCCGUAGCCAAACGCCUUGGAGUAUCAAAUGAGCCGUCAACGAGGCCUGCAGGGCUGCAGUUUGAGAAAAUCAUCCACAUUGACUGCUCAAAGUGGGAGAGCAGAAGAGCAAUGCAAAGGGAAAUAGCAGAGCAGCUGAACCUUCCUAAUUGGGUGAUGGAGAUGUUUGACAAGCAAGAUGAGGAGGAUGAUUUCAAUGGGUUAGACCAGGGCUCCCGAACUGAGAUAGCACAAGUUGUCAGAGAGAUCUAUCAAACUACACAGAAUCAGAGGUUCUUGGUGAUUCUGCAUAAUGGAGGCAAUGAGGAGACUGAUGUGAUAGGAGCUGAAAAUUGGGACAUGAGCCAUUUCUGAGGACGACUGCGCAACAUUCGCAAGCUCCGGGUAACAAAGUCCACCUGCUUCUUCAACAACAAC